AGAGCUAAUACACGCAUUCGAGCUCCGACCGAAGGGACGAGCGCAUUUAUUAGAACUGCGCUUGCGCGCACGGUUGGUGACUCUGAAUAACUCAGCUGAUCGCUGUACCGGCGACAUGUCUUUCAAGUGUCUGCCUUAUCAACUUUCGAUGGUAGUUUAUGUGACUACCAUGGUUGCAACGGGUAACGGAGAAUCAGGGUUCGACUCCGGAGAGGGAGCCUGAGAAACGGCUACCACUU
rnacentral:rRNA from 1 species